GCCCUUAGAGUUUGAUCCUGGCUCAGAACGAACGCUGGCGGCAGGCUUAACACAUGCAAGUCGAGCGCCCCGCAAGGGGAGCGGCAGACGGGUGAGUAACGCGUGGGAAUCUACCCAACCCUACGGAAUAACGCAUGGAAACGUGUGCUAAUACCGUAUACGCCCUACGGGGGAAAGAUUUAUCGGGGAUGGAUGAGCCCGCGUUGGAUUAGCUAGUUGGUGGGGUAAAGGCCUACCAAGGCGACGAUCCAUAGCUGGUCUGAGAGGAUGAUCAGCCACAUUGGGACUGAGACACGGCCCAAACUCCUACGGGAGGCAGCAGUGGGGAAUAUUGGACAAUGGGCGCAAGCCUGAUCCAGCCAUGCCGCGUGAGUGAUGAAGGCCCUAGGGUUGUAAAGCUCUUUCACCGAUGAAGAUAAUGACGGUAGUCGGAGAAGAAGCCCCGGCUAACUUCGUGCCAGCAGCCGCGGUAAUACGAAGGGGGCUAGCGUUGUUCGGAAUUACUGGGCGUAAAGCGCACGUAGGCGGAUAUUUAAGUCAGGGGUGAAAUCCCGCAGCUCAACUGCGGAACUGCCUUUGAUACUGGGUA
rnacentral:rRNA from 1 species